rnacentral:rRNA from 1 species
UACGUAGGGUGCGAGCGUUAAUCGGAAUUACUGGGCGUAAAGCGUGCGCAGGCGGUUUUGUAAGCCAGAUGUGAAAUCCCCGGGCUUAACCUGGGAAUGGCAUUUGGGACUGCAAGGCUUGAGUGCGGCAGAGGAGACUGGAAUUCCUGGUGUAGCAGUGAAAUGCGUAGAUAUCAGGAGGAAUACCGAUGGCGAAGGCAGGUCUCUGGGCCGCAACUGACGCUGAGGAGCGAAAGCAUGGGGAGCGAACAGG